rnacentral:rRNA from 1 species
GACAUACCUAAAACGUUGCUUCGGCGGGAACAGACGGCCCCGUGAAACGGGCCGCCCCCGCCAGAGGACCCCCUAACUCUGUUGCUAUAUGUAUCUUCUGAGUAAACAAGCAAAUAAAUUAAAACUUUCAACAACGGAUCUCUUGGCUCUGGCAUCGAUGAAGAACGCAGCGAAAUGCGAUAAGUAAUGUGAAUUGCAGAAUUCAGUGAAUCAUCGAAUCUUUGAACGCACAUUGCGCCCGCCAGUAUUCUGGCGGGCAUGCCUGUUCGAGCGUCAUUACAACCCUCAGGCCCCCGGGCCUGGCGUUGGGGAUCGGCGAGGCGCCCCCCUGCGGGCACGCGCCGUCCCCCAAAUACAGUGGCGGUCCCGCCGCAGCUUCCAUUGCGUAGUAGCUAACACCUCGCAACUGGAGAGCGGCGCGGCCAUGCCGUAAAACACCCAACUUCUGAAUGUUGACCUCGAAUCAGGUAGGAAUACCCGCUGAACUUAAGCAUAUCAAUAGG